rnacentral:rRNA from 1 species
UGGGGAAUCUUGGACAAUGGGCGCAAGCCUGAUCCAGCCAUGCCGCGUGAGUGACGAAGGCCCUAGGGUCGUAAAGCUCUUUCAACUGUGAAGAUAAUGACGGUAGCAGUAGAAGAAACCCCGGCUAACUCCGUGCCAGCAGCCGCGGUAAUACGGAGGGGGUUAGCGUUGUUCGGAAUUACUGGGCGUAAAGCGCACGUAGGCGGACUAUUAAGUCAGGGGUGAAAUCCCGGGGCUCAACCCCGGAACUGCCUUUGAUACUGGUAGUCUUGAGUUCGAGAGAGGUGAGUGGAAUUCCGAGUGUAGAGGUGAAAUUCGUAGAUAUUCGGAGGAACACCAGUGGCGAAGGCGGCUCACUGGCUCGAUACUGACGCUGAGGUGCGAAAGUGUGGGGAGCAAACAGGAUUAGAUACCCCCGUAGUCC